rnacentral:lncRNA from 1 species
AGCCACUCCACCCAUUUGCCAUUAGCCAUGGCAAGGGGGGAGAUAGGGCAGCCACUAUUCACGUGAAUAGUGGUUGCCCUUGCAAAUAGUAUUUUGUGUUUCCACCCAUUGUCAUGGCUAAGGGCAAUUACUAUUCAUUUUUUUGUUUUUUCACAACUUUUUUUUACUUAAAUAAUUAAUUUGGAUAAUAUUUUCGGAUAAGAUUUUUUGGUUCCUACGUGUCAAUACUAUUCAUAUCGGAUAAGAUUUUAUUUUAUUAGUUGUAUUGGUUGGUAUUUAUAGUAAAAAAAAAAGUAUGAGGAUUUGGUGUUAGAAGUGAAGAGUAUUGGUUGGUAUUUAUAGACACGGGCGGACCCAUAAUUUUUUUAGCGGAGGUGCAAUAUUGGCUAAGUAUGAAAAAUGGUUUUUCGGAAUAAUAAUUUUCUCAAGAUAAUUUUUGGCGGCUUUUAUUCCUUACACAUCAAAUAAGAAAACUUGAUUUUAUGGGAUUUUAAUAUGAAGUAUAUAUUGACUUAAUGAGCCAUCAUUUUUAGCCUAAAUCGUAUUUUGCACUAAAACCAAUUUUUCAUAUUUUAAUUUGGUGGAAAUUUGAUUUUCUAGUAUUUUUAUUUGAAUCCAAAUGGGGGGUACAUCCUUAUUUACAUUGUAAACUUAAGUAAAUGGAGUAAUAUAAAAAUAAAUGAAAGUAAGGUAUAGAGAAAAAAAAUUCAGUAAUUUUUUUUAAAGUUUUUACGAUGUUUUUUCAUUUUUUUUAUUGCAGAAAAAUUGGCUGCCGUUGGAUUGAAGGAAAAAAUCAUAUCGGAGAGCCCAGACGCCGACACAUGGAAGCUAGUCGUUGGUGGCUACUGUAGCGCGAGGGUGACGCCAGCGAUGACAUCACCAGUCCUCGGGCUCGCGCUUGGGCCAAACUCCACCCCGGGCCAGCCCAGUCUGGUGGCCCCCACCUCUUGCCCGGGCUGCCUUUUACUGCUGGAAACGCCUUUUUCUCCCAAACCCCCCUCCAGCCCG